rnacentral:rRNA from 1 species
UACGUAGGGGGCGAGCGUUGUCCGGAUUUAUUGGGCGUAAAGAGCGCGUAGGCGGCCCGGAAAGUCGGAUGUGAAAACCCGGGGCUCAACCCCGGGCCUGCAUCCGAUACUUCCGGGCUGGAGGCAGGUAGGGGAGAUCGGAAUUCCUGGUGUAGCGGUGAAAUGCGCAGAUAUCAGGAGGAACACCGGUGGCGAAGGCGGAUCUCUGGGCCUGUCCUGACGCUGAGGCGCGAAAGCUAGGGGAGCGAACAGG